UACCAGCACCCCGAGUGGUCGGGACGAUUAUUGGGCCUAAAGCAUCCGUAGCCGGUCCUACAAGUCUUCCGUUAAAUCCACCUGCUUAACAGAUGGGCUGCGGAAGAUACUAUAGGGCUAGGAAGCGGGAGAGGCAAGCGGUACUCAGUGGGUAGGGGUAAAAUCCUCUGAUCCAUUGAAGACCACCAGUGGCGAAGGCGGCUUGCCAGAACGCGCUCGACGGUGAGGGAUGAAAGCUGGGGGAGCAAACCGG
rnacentral:rRNA from 1 species